GAUGAACGCUGGCGGCGUGCCUAAUACAUGCAAGUCGUACGGAAAGGCCCUUCGGGGUACUCGAGUGGCGGACGGCUGAGUAACGCGUGGGAACGUGCCCCAAAGUGAGGGAUAACGCACCGAAAGGUGUGCUAAUACCGCAUAUGGUCUUCGGAUUAAAGCUUCGGCGCUUUGGGAGCGGCCCGCGUACGAUUAGAUAGUUGGUGAGGUAAUGGCUCACCAAGUGGACGAUCGUUAGCUGGGCUGAGAGGAUGAUCAGCCAGACUGGGACUGAUACACGGCCCAGACUCCUACGGGAGGCAGCAGUAAGGAAUCUUCCACAAUGGGGGCAACCCUGAUGGAGCAACGCCGCGUGCAGGAUGAAGGUUUUCGGAUCGUAAACUGCUUUUAUAAGUGAAGAAUAUGACGGUAACUUAUGAAUAAGGAUCGGCUAACUACGUGCCAGCAGCCGCGGUAACAC
rnacentral:rRNA from 1 species